ACAAAAAAUGAGACAUGUGAGAGAUCACGCGCGCGCGGAGCACAUUGCCGGUGUAGUCGAUGCAGUGCGCGCGUGUCGUUCAGAUGACUGACUAUCAAGCGCGCUUGAAAGUUGUCGGCAAUGUGUGAAGUGUCAAAACAAACAGCCGCGCACGCAGCUCGACAGCGGUGCAGUCGGCUCGUGAAGAAUUGAAGCGCAGAUCAUCGAAAUUCUGCCCCUGUGGUCAAAAGUAGCAUGCAUCGUUCUCAUGAGCAUCACCAACAAAAUGCAGGAAGGAAGGAGCCCCUCUCCUGCGGAAUCUGCUUGCCCUUCCCAGCCAGCCGGACGGAACCCCAGAUGGAAGUGGCCGGCUCAGUCGAGCAUGUCCCUGGAAACACACACAACUUUCUGUCUGGCACGCUCUUCCUUGUCACGUAGCCGAGCUGCUGCUGCCUGCAGCCGCUGCUCACGGUCGGCCUCAACCCGUGCAAGGUUGCGCCGCUGCUCAGCCUCCCGCUCGAGCCGCUGACGCAGCGCC